CUGUUCCGGUUCCCGACCCCAUCCCUCGUCCACAACCCAUGCCCGACCCGUCGCCGGAUGAAGAGCCGAUUAAAU
rnacentral:misc_RNA from 1 species